AGACACACACUAAAUUAGCAGGGAGUGUUAUAAAAGCUUUGGAGUGCAAGCUCACAGCUGUCUUAAUAAGAAGAGAAGGCUUCAAUGGAACCUUUUGUGGUCCUGGUGCUGUGUCUCUCUUUUAUGCUUCUCUUUUCACUCUGGAGACAGAGCUCUGGGAGAAGGAAGCUCCCUCCUGGCCCCACUCCUCUUCCUAUUAUUGGAAAUAUGCUACAGAUAGAUGUUAAGGACAUCUGCAAAUCUUUCAGCAAUUUCUCAAAAGUCUAUGGUCCUGUGUUCACCGUGUAUUUUGGCAUGAAUCCCAUAGUGGUGUUGCAUGGAUAUGAGGCAGUGAAGGAAGCCCUGAUUGAUAAUGGAGAGGAGUUUUCUGGAAGAGGCAGUUCCCCAAUAUCUCAAAGAAUUACUAAAGGACUUGGUAGGUGCACAUAUUUCUGUGUCAGCUUUGGUAAUUGGGGUGAGGGGGAUGGAAAACAGAGCCCUAAAAACUUCUCAGCAGAGCUUAGCCUAUCUGCAUGGCUGCCGAGUGUUGCAGCACUUUCUUCCUUGGCUGUGAAUUCUCCCAGUUUCUGCCCCUUUUUUUAUUAGGAAUCAUUUCCAGCAAUGGAAAGAGAUGGAAGGAGAUCCGGCGUUUCUCCCUCACAACCUUGCGGAAUUUUGGGAUGGGGAAGAGGAGCAUUGAGGACCGUGUUCAAGAGGAAGCUCACUGCCUUGUGGAGGAGUUAAGAAAAACCAAGGCCUCACCCUGUGAUCCCACUUUCAUCCUGGGCUGCGCUCCCUGCAAUGUGAUCUGCUCCGUUGUUUUCCAGAAACGAUUUGAUUAUAAAGAUCAGAAUUUUCUCACCCUGAUGAAAAGAUUCAAUGAAAACUUCAGGAUUCUGAACUCCCCAUGGAUCCAGGUCUGCAAUAAUUUCCCUCUACUCAUUGAUUGUUUCCCAGGAACUCACAACAAAGUGCUUACAAAUGUUGCUCUUACACAAAGUUACAUUAGGGAGAAAGUAAAAGAACACCAAGCAUCACUGGAUGUUAACAAUCCUCGGGACUUUAUCGAUUGCUUCCUGAUCAAAAUGGAGCAGGAAAAGGACAACCAAAAGUCAGAAUUCAAUAUUGAAAACUUGGUUGGCACUGUAGCUGAUCUAUUUGUUGCUGGAACAGAGACAACAAGCACCACUCUGAGAUAUGGACUCCUGCUCCUGCUGAUGCACCCGGAGGUCACAGCUAAAGUCCAGGAAGAGAUUGAUCAUGUAAUUGGCAGACACAGGACCCCCUGCAUGCAGGAUAGGAGCCACAUGCCUUACACUGAUGCUGUAGUGCACGAGAUCCAGAGAUACAGUGACCUUGUCCCCACCGGUGUGCCCCAUGCAGUGACCACUGAUACUAAGUUCAGAAACUACCUCAUCCCCAAGAGCUUUGAUAACAAGAUAAUGCUGGCUGCAUAAAACUAGGGCACAACCAUAAUGACAUUACUGACUUCCGUGCUACACGAUGACAAAGAAUUUCCUAAUCCAAAUAUCUUUGACCCUGGCCACUUUCUAGAUAAGAAUGGCAACUUUAAGAAAAGUGACUACUUCAUGCCUUUCUCAGCAGGAAAACGAAUUUGUGCAGGAGAAGGACUUGCCCGCAUGGAGCUAUUUUUAUUUCUAACCACAAUUUUACAGAACUUUAACCUGAAAUCUGUUGAUGAUUUAAAGAACCUCAAUACUACUGCAGUUACCAAAGGGAUUGUUUCUCUGCCACCCUCGUACCAGAUCUGCUUCAUCCCUGUCUGAAGAAUGCUAGCCCAUCUGGCUGCCGAUCUGCUAUCACCUGCAAUUCUUUUUUUAUCAAGGACAUUCCCACUAUUAUGUCUUCUCUGACCUCUCAUCAAAUCUUCCCAUUCACUCAAUAUCCCAUAAGCAUCCAAACUCCAUUAAGGAGAGUUGUUCAGGUCACUGCACAAAUAUAUCUGCAAUUAUUCAUACUCUGUAACACUUGUAUUAAUUGCCGCAUAUGCUAAUACUUUUCUAAUGCUGACUUUUUAAUAUGUUAUCACUGUAAAACACAGAAAAGUGAUUAAUGAAUGAUAAUUUAGAUCCAUUUCUUUUGUGAAUGUGCUAAAUAAAAAGUGUUAUUAAUUGCU
rnacentral:sRNA from 1 species